GUUUAAUUCGAUGCAACGCGAAGAACCUUACCUGGUCUUGACAUCCACAGAACUUUCCAGAGAUGGAUUGGUGCGUUCGGGAACUGUGAGACAGGUGCUGCAUGGCUGUCGUCAGCACGUGUUGUGAAAUGUUGGGUUAAGUCCCGCAACGAGCGCAACCCUUAUCCUUUGUUGCCAGCGAUUAGGUCGGGAACUCAAAGGAGACUGCCAGUGAUAAACUGGAGGAAGGUGGGGAUGACGUCAAGUCAUCAUGGCCCUUACUACCAGGGCUACACACGUGCUACAAUGGCGCAUACAAAGAGAAGGGACCUCGCGGGAGCAAGAGGACCUCAUAAAGUGCGUCGUAGUCCGGAUUGGAGUCUGCAACUCGACUCCAUGAAGUCGGAAGCGCUCGUAAUCGUGGAUCAGAAUGCCACGGUGAAUACGUUCCAGGGCCUUGUACACACCGCCCGUCACACCAUG
rnacentral:rRNA from 1 species